rnacentral:rRNA from 1 species
AUUGAACGCUGGCGGCAGGCCUAACACAUGCAAGUCGAACGAGUGGCGGACGGGUGAGUAAUGUCUGGGAAACUGCCCGAUGGAGGGGGAUAACGACUGGAAACGGUAGCUAAUACCGCAUACCAUCGGAUGUGCCCAGACUGGUUUAGCUAGUAGGUGGGGUAACGGCUCCCCGUGGCGACGAUCCCUAGCUGGGCUGAGAGGAUGAACAGCCACACUGGAACGGAGACACGGUCCAGACUCCUACGGGAGGCAGCAGUGGGGAAUAUUCGACAAUGGGCGCAAGUCUGACGCAGCCAUGCCGCGUGAAUGAAGAAGGCCUUCGGGUUGUAAAGUACUGUUGUCGGGGAGGCGUUACCCGCAGAAGAAGCACCGGCUAACUCCGUGCCAGCAGCCGCGGUAAUAC